GUUGGCUAGCAGAUCUGUACACAACACCUCCUUCAUAGUACUAUAGGAACUAUACCAGAUAAGAUGCAACUGGUGGCGCUGGUCUCUGUGGUGGUGUGUGUGGCCGGCCUGGCCACCGCCCGCCCCCAGGAGGCUGCUGGUGGAGAAGGCAGCCAGAGGACCUUGCUUCCCAAUCUAGUGGGAGCUGCCGAGGGGGCCCUCUCCGGUUUCCUUAACCCCUACGGCUACGGUGGUUAUGGCUAUGGUAAAUUUGGAUACGGCGGCUUCGGUGUCUACGGUCCGCCGCCAUUUCUCGGAGGUCCCUUCAUCAACCCGUAUUUUGGGUAGGACGAGGCGUGUAGUGCGGGGCGACUGGUGUCAGGAUGAGGUGAAUUGCCUCCAUAAUUGUGAGUACCUCAGUUGCCUGUAUGACAACUGCCACAACAAUACGAAGGGUAUACUGGGAUCUGCGGCAGCUCUUCCACUUCAGCAGCACCUUAGAGUCCACUGCAGCACUCAGGAGACGACCCGCCACCACCACCUGUCCUCACCACACCAAGGAACACUCGAGGAAUUUUGUACCAGCUUGGGGGGGCUCUACACUUCUAACUUAUUAACUCUACAAAGAAUAAAACAAAAUAAAAAGGUCAUCAAUGAAAUAAAUAUGUAAAUUUUCAA